CCACGUUAUCCAUUUUGAUUAAAACCUAUAAUGAUCAAAUUUGGUAAUUAACAUUUCAGAAUGUGAUAAAAUUGUGAAAACCACAACCAAAAUAUAUUAAAUAAAUAAAAAAUUAUUUAAUAAUGAUUAUAUAAUUUUAAUCAUUUUUUUAUUAUGAAAGUAAAAGUGAUUUGGGCUAAAAACAAAUUUUUGAUAUGUAUAAAAAUAAUUUUUAAAAAGAAUGUCUAGGUCCCUUGGUAACUCAAAAAGUGGCUUACCACUUGAGUAGCAAGCACAAGUGGCCAUUUAUGUUCUACAGAAAAUCAAUGAACAUUAUGAAAGUAAAGUUUAUUUAACACUAUAAGACUUUUCUAUAAAAGCUAAGUACCUUAGUCCACCUGCAACACUUCUUUUGCUGAGUUCCUUGUUGGUUUCUUGUUAUUACCAGUUCUGAACCGUUUCUAGUUGAUCUCACAGUCCGGCGAUUGAAAGGGGCUUUGAGAGAGAAUCCAAUAGCUUUGCUCUGAUCUAGUCGAUGUCUGGCGAUUUCGCGAAUCUAGCUUCAGCUUUGCGCUUUGAAUGAGAAUCGGAUAUAGUCAAAAUGACCUCACGGUUUGAUUUACGAGAGUGGAUUUGCGAAAGGGGGUUUGAGAGAGAUUCACGCGAGUUUGCUACGCUAAAUGUGUAAGUUCUGGAAGUGACAUGAAUUGUUGAAUUUUUGUGACUCGAAUGAAAUUUUCCCUUUUUUUGUAAUCCGCGUGUUUUUUUUUCCUUUGGUCCGUUGUUGGUCCG
rnacentral:lncRNA from 1 species